rnacentral:rRNA from 1 species
UGCAAGUCGAACGGUAGAGGGGGCAACCCCUUGAGAGUGGCGAACGGGUGAGUAAUGUAUCGGAACGUGCCCAGUCGUGGGGGAUAACGUAGUGAAAAUUACGCUAAUACCGCAUACGAUCUAUGGAUGAAAGCGGGGGAUCGCAAGACCUCGCGCGAUUGGAGCGGCCGAUAUCAGAUUAGGUAGUUGGUGGGGUAAAGGCUCACCAAGCCAACGAUCUGUAGCUGGUCUGAGAGGACGACCAGCCACACUGGAACUGAGACACGGUCCAGACUCCUACGGGAGGCAGCAGUGGGGAAUUUUGGACAAUGGACGCAAGUCUGAUCCAGCCAUUCCGCGUGCAGGACGAAGGCCUUCGGGUUGUAAACUGCUUUUGUACGGAACGAAAAAGCUCUUAUUAAUACUAGGAGUCCAUGACGGUACCGUAAGAAUAAGCACCGGCUAACUACGUGCCAGCAGCCGCGGUAAUACGUAGGGUGCAAGCGUUAAUCGGAAUUACUGGGCGUAAAGCGUGCGCAGGCGGUUAUAUAAGACAGAUGUGAAAUCCCCGAGCUUAACUUGGGAACUGCAUUUGUGACUGUAUAGCUAGAGUACGGCAGAGGGGGAUGGAAUUCCGCGUGCAGCAGUGAAAUGCGUAGAUAUGCGGAGGAACACCGAUGGCGAAGGCAAUCCCCUGGGCCUGUACUGACGCUCAUGCACGAAAGCGUGGGGAGCAAACAGGAUUAGAUACCCUGGUAGUCCACGCCCUAAACGAUGUCAACUGGUUGUUGGGUCUUCACUGACUCAGUAACGAAGCUAACGCGUGAAGUUGACCGCCUGGGGAGUACGGCCGCAAGGUUGAAA